GUGCUUGCUUCGGCAGCACAUGUACUGAAAUUGGAAUGAUACAGAGAAGAUUAGCAUGGCCCCCUGCUCAAGGAUGACACACAAAUUCGUGAAGCAUUCCAUAUUUUU
ensembl:snRNA U6 U6 spliceosomal RNA